AGGUUGAUGGUUGAUGAAUCGGAACUCUGAUGAGUCAAACACAAAGAAGGAAAAUUCUACAUUCCUACCUUGUCAUCUCAAAGACUAGAGGGUCCACAAAGCUACCAUGGACACGCAGAGAUUUGAUAGCUGUUAUUUCUACCUCUGCCACAUGUCGCGAUCAGGACAGAGGUCAGUCAAAUUGAUGAAAUUGAAGAGCUCAUAUUUAAUCUUCAUGAGUAUGUUUAGCCCAUUGUUAAGGUUGGUUCAUGUUUUCCUCAAACUCAUUAGUUUUGCAUAUAAUCAUGUUUUAGUAUGCCAAUUGGGUGACUUAUCUUACUUUGCUCUAUAUAUUUUCUUAAGUUUAAUUUAAAUUGAUUGUUAGUAUAAGUUCAUUGGUGAAGUAACCAUAAUUAUUUGGGUCGGAGAAUUUUUUUCUUCUCACAUAUAUAGAUAAUUUGUUAGGGUGUGCACAAUUGGGGCAUUACACCAUUUUUUGUUUCUUUUGACUGAUAUGCAUCUUUGAUUUUUUGUUUCACAAGGGUUCCACCCCAAGAUUCACAAAUACACUAGAUACAAUUCUUUCACCACAGUCCUUUUAAAUUGAUGAAGGAGGGUUUUUUGUUCUUCAAGACUUCAUUUUGGGUUUUUGUUUCAAUCUUCUUCAUGAAUUGAUUUUGUUCUUCAGCUAAUUGUAAGAUGUCAUAUGCUUCAAGGAUUCAUGCUUUUCUCUUAAUCAAAAGCAAAAAGAUUGAGGAAAAGAAAAUCUUUUGGGGUGCAGAAUAUUCAUUUAUUGGAAAAAAAAUUACACGUGUCAUUCUCAGGUUAAUUCUCAUAAAAAAAUACAUUUUAAAAUUUAAGAUUUGAUUAGGAUUUAGGUUGUUUAUUUCUUGAUUUUAUUUUAAUUUAUUUUUGAUUUAUUUUUAAAGUAAAAGAAAAUACAUUUUUAAAUUUUAGAUUUGAUUAGGAUUUAGGUGAUUUAUUUCUUGAUUUUAUCUUUAUUUAUUUUUUUUUUUUUUUUGAGUAUUAAUUAAUAUACCCUUAACUUUUUUUAAGAAGAGUGAGUUUGAAAGCUAUAGCUUAAGUUAAUUUGUUAAUAUAUUCCCAAAUAAUAAUAAUAAUGAUAAUAACAUAUGUGUGCGGGUAUGAGCCGGUUGGGUACUAUAGUGCUCAUACCCACUAUUUUUUGUGGGACCUAUACCCAACCUCAUAUUCUUUUAGCGGUUUUUUACCCUACUCAUAGUGAGUAUUUUUUGCGGGUACCCUAUGAUUUCAUGACUCAUUGUCAUCCCUAGAUUUAGAUUUUGGCAAAGAUUGAUAGCUUCGUAUAAUGACAUUGAAUUGUCUAAAGGUGGAGAGCUUCGAGUUGCUACCCACGUGAGUAUAGGGACGAGUAUAUGUAAUUUUUAAAAACGCGGGUAUGGGGAUGGUACUAUAGUACCUACCCAUUUUCAUCCCUACUUAGUUGGAAUAAACACAAUAAUGUUAUAUUUUAUGAUUUAUCUUACACAAUCCUGAUUUAUGCUACUUCUACAUUCAUUUUUUUUAAAGAUUAAUAUGUUGGUAAUUUCUUAUAUCUAUGAUUUGUGUUAUCGUCUUAACGAGUUCCCGUUGGUCUCAAUCGGGCUUAGAAGAUAAGUCCUUAUGUUCACUUUACUCAUCAAUUCUGACUCUUAUAUUUCAUUCGUUGUUUAAUAUAUUUUUAAUAAUCAAAGUAUUAAUUAAUGUAUCAAAUACAAUAGACAUAUUCUCUGUACAACGCGCGGGUAAAAAACACUAGUAUAUAAUAAUUUGUGUAUAUUAGGUGUAGUGGUUGAUGGCGGAUGGCUGAUGGUUGAUGAAUGGAACACCAUAGAAUGAAAAGAAGGAAAAUUCUACCUUGCCAUCUCAAACACACUAGAUGAAAAAAAAAAUUGAAUUAUUUUGACAUGCAAUAAAAUAUUUAUAUUCAAUAGAAAAACGUAACGUAUAGUGACUUAUGUUAGUAAUUGAUAAAGACUUCAGAAAGUUUUCUAGAAGGACAAUUUUAUUUUUUUGAAAUGAAUGCAAACAUAAAACAGGAACCUCGUUCUAGAAGGAUAAAUUUACCUUCAUACUCCAUGAAAAGUGAAAUAUGGGGUUGAGAGAAAAACUAGAUUUGAGGAAAAAAUAUAGAAAAUAAAUUAAAAGAUGUGACAUGUGAUAUAUAUGAUUGAGACUUUAUAAAAAGAUAAAUAAAAAGUAGCG